rnacentral:lncRNA from 1 species
UGAAACUGAACAAGGCCUUAUAUUCUCAUCAGGCCGUCUGAGAAGUUUGGAUCAAUGGUCCUUAGCUUUGCGCCAUCUACACGGUAUCACAACGCGUCUUCCUGGAAGAACGCUGUUGGGAAUAUAAUGGUCGUCUAUAUUGCCAACGCGUCUUUGGAAAAAGUUUGUGCAUGCUGCCACUGCCAGCUAGCCACAUGGUUUCCAGUAGCCUCGCUAGCUAGCACUUGAGUUCUUCUUCCCCAAACCCGUGUAAGUCAACGGAGAUCAAAUUGCCGGUUGCUAGCAGUCAGCAAUUCAGCGCCCAAGCCGUCGUCGUUCGACGCAAGAAACACCAACAACGACCUCGCUGUGGCUGUGGCUGCACCGCCGCCACUCCUAGUCCUUAGUUUUGAUCCGUCCUCCUCCGCCAACCACAAGCAGACGACCGGCACCGGCUUCAGCUCCAACACAGUUGUUAGCAGCUCCUCAUCAGGUACCUGCGUCCAAAUUUGCAUUACAAGUUUACAAUAACCCUUUUCGCGCCAAAAAAAAAAAGUUUACAACAUCCCAGAUACACACACGUUGCAGGGCCAUCGCCGGCCCACCUUGACAUUGUACCUUCGAGCCCAUUUUACUCCUUGCAGCAUGGUUCGUUCACCAUUCUUGCCAUCCUCUCCUGUUGUCGUAAUCUGAGUAACUUGGCUCUGGAAUUUAGCAUGUUUCUUAUGAUCCCAACAACUAUUGCCUUUUCUGGCAGGGCAGAAUUCACAUGUGUGCAUAACAGGGCAGAACAGAGUAAGAUCGAGAAUGAGGGCAAAAUAAAUACUCAUUUGCAAAAUCAGAACGACCAAAGUUACAGCUUCUACUAUUGCUGCAUAUAUACUGCAACGCUUUUAAAACUGCAUGGGUAACGCUUUCAAAUGCUUUUAAUUUUUUUUGUAAAUAAAGAAGACCAAAUGAAUUUCAUUCACUGCUGCUAUUACAAGGCAGGGGCAGGGUGUACAGAUCAGAUGUCUGCUGUUCCGGACUUUUUCUUAUGUGAAACUGCUGUUCCAGAUACUCGACAUAAAGAAAAAGGUUCAAUUUGGGGAAGGGCUACUAACAAACUUUUUUUUUGAUCAAUUUGGGGGAGAACUACUAACAAACUUGCGGUGCUUCAGAUUUUUAUUACGAAACAGCAUGGAAACAGCAACAUUUUAUUACGAAACACAAGCAUAAUAGUGGACACAAAUGGAAGCAGGAUUAACAAAGGAAUGCUACACAUAUGGCAACUUGCCUUCUAAUCUUCUAUGGUGCACUAGUUGGUCAUCCUUCGAAUAACUCUCCCAGCAUCUUCUCUACCUCCAUGGGAGUGAAUCCUGGGGGUGUGGCAAUCUGGUCAUCCUCCCAGAACUGUGUAAACACUGGAGUAACUUUAUCGACAAUGGCUUUCCUCAGCCUCCUUCUCAUCUCAGGGUCUGGGACCUUCCAGAGCUUUUGGCCGGAGUAAGUCUUCUGAAACUUUGACUCAAACUUUGGUAUAGGAGACGAGUAUGUAGUGAAGCAACGAGGUGUAGCAGAAUCCUGCAAGCAUUUCAACACCGGUUCCCAAGACACAUGGAGAUAACGAUUGAUGUAGUAAUUGAUAUCGUAGGUGAAGGAUACCAUAUUGAAACCCAAACUCUGAAUUGUCUGUAACUCUUGCAACAAGUAGUGGAAAUUUUUUUUUUGAAAAAGACUGGAGGGACCUUGGCCCCUACAGCAAAGAUAUAUUAAAGAAAGGAAUACAGUUAUGUACAAAAACUUUUGAAAGAAGAAGAGCAGACAACUAUCUUAAGAAACAAAAAAGGAAACAAAAAAGAUCAAACUAAGAGCAAAAACUAGCUUGUUUGUAAGGCAUGAGUCCAUUGAUCAAAAUAAAGUGAUAAUCCUUCCUUGAAAUUGUUGAUCAAGAAUAGGAACCUGAGGCUCUCAUCUGGGAAGGACCCCGGGGAUGAAUUUGUGGAAGGCUCUCUCUCUAGUGAAGAGACCAUCUGUGUGAUGAGGUUGGUCACAUGGUUCAAGUUUUUGUUCUCCGACACAAACUCACCGCGGAGAACCGCGGCAUGUAGAAUGCGAUUCACUGACUUGCAAUUGGCCCACAGCACCUUGGUGUAGCUUACUAUGGAGUGUGAGACCUUGUGAAUGUCACAUGAACUGCUAUCGUCUGUCCAGCUCCAAGCCAUGAUAUUAUUCCUCAUCUCAACAGCUGUAUCCCAUAUGGCCUCAUCCAACUUGGUCAGAUCUGCUGACAAGAGUUCUCUCAUCUUGUCGUUAGAACAUUCUUCUUGUACAUAGCAGGACAAUAAUGACAGGACAUGUUGCGAGGCCAUGGAAAGAGCGUCAUGCAUGUCUAUCAGUACCUGGAGCUUCUGAGCCACUACCCCCGGCCAAUGGGUGGUUUUUGCCACAGCAAUGUCAACGAAAGGCAGCAUCUUGAGCACAAUUGCUUGGACAAGCUGUGCAAAUUCAGAAGCAGAUGGUUGCUUGCUCGUUCUUCCUUCAUCUUGGUCCUGCCUCUGUCUGGACCAUCCAUCAAGGCUUGUAAGGAUGGAUCCACGGAUCUUGUGUAGAGCCAGGAUCCAGCUCUGGACAAGAAAUUGGAAGCCGUGCGUGGCAACGACGCUCCCUGAAGAUUCAUGUGUUCCGGGGGCGAGGUGGAUAACCCAGGGGACGUCCAGCUCCAAGAGCCACCUCUCCAAGGCACUGCGAUUAUCGCCACGGAAUUGCACCGCCAGGCCCUUGAGAUGCUCGAGCUUCUCCACCCUGUCUUCCUCGAGCUCCUGAUCUACAUCUAUAUCAAGCUCCUCCUCCGCGUUUUCUUCCAUGGGCGCCGUGGACGGAGCCAUGGAUGCAUGGAUAUCACGAGGCUGCGCUUCUCCGUGUGAAUUGAAUGGGGUGAUGGUGCUGGCGGUGUUGGUUGUACCAAAACUGCUGAUGUAGCCGCCGGUAGGCCGCUGCCAACCUCCUCCGCCGUCGGCGUCGCCCUCGCCACCGGUAGGCCGCAGCCGACCGCCUCUGCCGUCGGCGUCGUCCUCGCUGCUGCCCCUAGAUCUCAAUCUCUUCCAUGCUCUCCGCCAGAUUGAGGCCACCGCCAUUGGAGCACUGCUAGUUGCAAUCUAUCCACAGAUUCAAUUUGUGAUGGACGCACGCACACGGCUGUUACUGGAAUCAAUCAAGCAAUGCAUUCUCGAGAGGCGAUGCUAAUGGAAUUUCACUUUCAUGCUUCAAUGUGUGGAUCCCUGACUUUUUGACCAGCACGCACGCGGUUGUUGAUCGUAGACCACCACUCGGUUUGUCACUUUCUCGUCAUCUAGCUUUGUCAUAAAUUAAAUUUCUUUUUAAGGGUGUUUUUAGACUGCUCUGCUUCACGUUUUUUUAGCUCUGCUUCACGUUUUUUAGCUAAACGGUUUAAGUUCCACGCACUCAGUUCGAGAAAAAAAGGGGUGAAAUUAUGAGAGCACCUAGAGAAGUAUUCCACAAACUCUAAUUUUUUGUUGACGGUCCUUAACAUCAACAUUAUACUUUCAAUUAAUGCACAACAUAAUGGCAAAAAGAUUAUUAUAGCAUAGUUAUAGGGAUUAUUCUAAUAAAUUCUACGAGUUGUGUUGCUCAUUUAUUUUACAGAUUAUUGAUACUUCAUCACAUAAAAAGUACCAUAAAUGAUGAAACAAAGCACACCUUUGUAAAGAGCUCGUCGAGACGAUCAAAACGGACAUAUCACUUGCUAUAUUUGGAGUCCGAACAAGAGAGUCCCCAAUAGUUACGACCAAGAAUCACCAAACAAGAGUUUUAUGGACUAACAUGAUAAUUUCGACAGCUGUUGUUGGCGUCUUUUUUUUCUUUUCUCUGUGUGGCGCGGGUUGGGGGCUCAGUGUCCGGACGCAUUGUUGACGUUGGAUGUCCAGGCGCUAGCAGUACCCAUUAGAAAGUUGUAAUCAGUAAUCGGACUUGGCACUUCGUAGCAUAUGCAUGGACCAAACAAGAAUUGAGGCUAGUGCUGCAAAAGCUAAAUUUGUAAAUAACCUUCAACACAUGAAAGAAACAAUAAGUAGAAAUAGGCUUUGUUUAGUUCCUUUUAAGUUUUUUUUUGGUACCGUAGCACUUUCGUUUUUAUUUGAAAAUUAUUGUCCAAUCAUAGACUAACUAGGCUCAAAAGAUUCGUCUUGUAAAUUAUAGGCAAACUGUGUAAUUAGUUAUUUAUUUUAUCUAUAUUUAAUGCUUUAUGCAUGUGCCGUAAGAUUUGAUGUGAUGAAAAAUCUUAAAAAGCUUUUGGAUGGCCUUGUUUAGUUCCAUUUUUUUUUGUAAAAUGAACACUGUAGCACUUUCGUUUGUAUUUGACAAAUAUUAUCCAAUCAUGGACUAACUAGAUUCAAAAGAUUCGUCUCACAAAUUAUAUACAAACUAUGCAAUUAGUUAUUAUUUAUAUUUAUAUUUAAUACUCUAUGCAUGUGCCGCAAGAUUCAAUGUGAGCAAUUUGAAAAAUUUUGCAAAAUUUUUGGAAACUAAACAAGGCCUAAACAAGGCCUUAUAUUCUCAUCAGGCCGUCUGGGAGAGGUUUGGAUCAUGGUCGUUAGCUUGCCCAUCUACACGGUAUCACAACGCGUCUUCCUGAAAGAACGCUGUUGGGAAUAUAAUGGUCGUCUAUAUUGCCAACGCGUCUUUGGAAAAAGUUUGUGCAUGCUGCCACUGCCAGCUAGCCACAUGGUUUCCAAUAGCCUCGCUAGCACUUGAUGAGUUCUUCCCCAAACCCGUGUAAGUCAACGGAAAUCAAAUUGCCGGUUGCUAGCUUCAGCAAUCAGCGAUUCAGCAUGGAUGGUGGCAGUGGCGGCACAGCCGCUGGUAUGCUGGAUCAUACCUCGGAUUCCCCAUCCAGCAGCAGGCUUCGAUGUCGUGUGUCUCUCUCGGCGCCCAAGCCUGUGUGUCUCUUGGCGCCCAAGCCGUCGUCGUUCGACGCAAGAAACACCAACAACGACCUCGCUCUAGCUAUGGCUGCA